rnacentral:rRNA from 1 species
GACAGAGGGUGCAAACGUUGUUCGGAAUUACUGGGCGUAAAGCGCACGUAGGCGGCUUUGUAAGUUAGAGGUGAAAGCCCAGGGCUUAACCCUGGAAUUGCCUUUAAGACUGCAUCGCUAGAAUCGUGGAGAGGUAAGUGGAAUUCCGAGUGUAGAGGUGAAAUUCGUAGAUAUUCGCAAGAACACCAGUGGCGAAGGCGGCUCACUGGCCCGGUACUGACGCUGAGGUGCGAAAGCGUGGGGAGCAAACAGG